GACGAGGGGUCCUAGCGUUGUUCGGAAUCACUGGGCGUAAAGCGUAGGUAGGCGGCUUUUCAAGUCAGGUGUGAAAUCCCAUGGCUUAACCAUGGAACUGCAUUUGAAACUGUAAAGCUUGAGUAUCGGAGAGGAUGGUAGAAUUCCUGGUGUAGUGGUGAAAUACGUAGAUAUCAGGAGGAAUACCGGUGGCGAAGGCGGCCAUCUGGCCAAAAUACUGACGCUGAGAUACGAAAGUGUGGGGAUCAAACAGG
rnacentral:rRNA from 1 species